rnacentral:misc_RNA from 1 species
GUAGGUGAACCUGCGGAGGGAUCAUUACAAGUGACCCCGGUCUUACCACCGGGAUGUUCAUAACCCUUUGUUGUCCGACUCUGUUGCCUCCGGGGCGACCCUGCCUUCGGGCGGGGGCUCCGGGUGGACACUUCAAACUCUUGUAUUUCUUUAGUAUCUUCUGAGUAAACAAGCAAAUAAAUUAAAACUUUCAACAACGGAUCUCUUGGUUCUG